rnacentral:rRNA from 1 species
CCUACGGGAGGCAGCCGUGAGGAAUAUUGGUCAAUGGACGAGAGUCUGAACCAGCCAAGUAGCGUGAAGGAUGACUGCCCUAUGGGUUGUAAACUUCUUUUAUAAAGGAAUAAAACGAGGCACGUGUGCCUUUUUGCAUGUACUUUAUGAAUAAGGAUCGGCUAACUCCGUGCCAGCAGCCGCGGUAAUACGGAGGAUCCGAGCGUUAUCCGGAUUUGUUGGGUUUAAAGGGAGCGUAGAUGGGUUGUUAAGUCAGUUGUGAAAGUUUGCGGCUCAACCGUAAAAUUGCAAUUGAUACUGGCAGUCUUGAGUACAGUUGAGGUAGGCGGAAUUCGUGGUGUAGCGGUGAAAUGCUUAGAUAUCACGAAGAACCCCGAUUGCGAAGGCAGCUUACUAAACUGUGACUGACAUUGAUGCUCGAAAGUGUGGGUAUCAAACAGGAUUAGAUACCCCAGUAGUC